GAUGAACGCUGGCGGCGUGCUUAACACAUGCAAGUCGAACGAAGCACUUUAUUUGAUUUCCUUCGGGACUGAUUAUUUUGUGACUGAGUGGCGGACGGGUGAGUAACGCGUGGGUAACCUGCCUUGUACAGGGGGAUAACAGUUGGAAACGGCUGCUAAUACCGCAUAAGCGCACGGCAUCGCAUGAUGCAGUGCGAAAAACUCCGGUGGUAUAAGAUGGACCCGCGUUGGAUUAGCUAGUUGGUGAGGUAACGGCCCACCAAGGCGACGAUCCAUAGCCGACCUGAGAGGGUGACAGGCCACAGUGGGGAUGAGACACGGCACAAACUCCUACGGGAGGCAGCAGUGGGGAAUAUUGCACAAUGGGCGAAAGCCUGAUGCAGCGACGCCGCGUGAGCGAAGAAGUAUUUCGGUAUGUAAAGCUCUAUCAGCAGGGAAGAUAAUGACGGUACCUGACGAAGAAGCACCGGCUAAAUACGUG
rnacentral:rRNA from 1 species